AGGAGCGCUGUGAUUGGCUGA
rnacentral:snRNA from 1 species